CCUACGGGAGGCAGCAGUGGGGAAUCUUGCGCAAUGGGCGAAAGCCUGACGCAGCAACGCCGCGUGAGGGACGAAUGCUUUCUGAGUUGUAAACCUCUUUCAGCAGGGACGAUAAUGACGGUACCUGCAGAAGAAGCACCGGCCAACUACGUGCCAGCAGCCGCGGUGAUACGUAGGGUGCAAGCGUUGUCCGGAUUUAUUGGGCGUAAAGAGCUCGUAGGCGGUUUGGUAAGUCGGAUGUGAAAUCCCCAGGCUCAACCUGGGGUCGCCAUUCGAUACUGCCAUGACUAGAGUUCGGUAGGGGACCACGGAAUUCCUGGUGUAGCGGUGGAAUGCGCAGAUAUCAGGAGGAACACCAGUAGCGAAGGCGGUGGUCUGGGCCGACACUGACGCUGAGGAGCGAAAGCGUGGGGAGCAAACAGGAUUAGAUACCCCAGUAGUC
rnacentral:rRNA from 1 species